rnacentral:tRNA from 1 species
GGGCCAUUAGCUCAGUUGGUUAGAGCAACCGGCUCAUAACCGGUUGGUCCGGGGUUCGAGUCCCUGAUGGCCCA